GCAGACGACGACGAUGCCAAACGCCACUGCUCCCAACGUUUCCACUUCGAACAUUUCCACGAAAAUCUCGCCGCUCUCGCGAAGGAGGAGGACACCACCGGUCUUGCUUGCUCCCCAGUCCCCAUCCAGGAGCGUUUCGCUGACCAGGCCGCCGCCGCGGUGCGCGAGCCGGGCGCCGGGCGGCAGCCAUGGACGCGGCGGCAGCGGGGAGGCGGACGCUGGCGCUGGUGAACCUGGCUGCCAUCAUGGAGCGGGCCGACGAGGCGCUGCUGCCGGCGGUGUACCGGGAGGUGGGAGCGGCGCUGCACGCCACGCCCAUGGGGCUCGGCGCGCUCACGCUCUACCGUUCCGCCGUGCAGGCCGCCUGCUACCCGCUCGCCGCCUACGCCGCCGUGCGCUACAACCGCGCCCACGUCGUCGCCGUGGGGGCCGUACUCUGGGCCGCCGCCACCUUCCUCGUCGCCGUCUCCGGCACCUUCGCCCAGGUAGCAGUAGCUAGAGGUUUGAAUGGUAUUGGCCUAGCGCUUGUCACCCCUGCAAUCCAGUCUCUAGUGGCAGAUUGCUCUGAUGACAAUACCCGUGGCGCCGCAUUUGGAUGGCUUCAGCUCACAGGCAACAUAGGUUCAAUCAUUGGAGGUUUGUUUUCCCUGAUGCUAGCAUCAACCACAAUCAUGGGUAUUGCGGGUUGGCGCGUUGCAUUUCACAUCGUUGGCCUCAUCAGUGUUGUAGUCGGUGCACUGGUGGGUCUAUUUGCAGUGGAUCCCCAUUUCCUCAAUUGUGGAAAUGGCGAGCGACUCUUGCGCAAGUCUGCUUGGGAAGAGAUGAAGGAUUUAGUGAGAGAAGCCAAAGCUGUUGUCCAAAUCCCCUCAUUUCAGAUCAUUGUGGCUCAGGGCGUCACAGGUUCAUUUCCAUGGUCUGCACUAUCCUUUGCCCCAAUGUGGUUGGAGCUAAUGGGCUUUACACACAACAAAACUGGACUUCUCAUGACAACAUUUGCAUUGGCAAGCUCACUUGGAGGGCUAUUAGGUGGAAAGAUGGGGGAUCACUUUGCUGUUCGCUUCCCGGAUUCUGGCCGAAUAGUCCUGUCACAGAUAAGCUCGGCUUCUGCUAUUCCAUUGGCUGCACUAUUGCUGUUAGGGCUACCCGAUGACUCCUCUUAUGGUUUCUUGCAUGGACUUGUCAUGUUUAUUAUGGGCCUGAGCAUCUCCUGGAAUGGUCCUGCUACAAACAACCCCAUAUUCGCAGAGAUCGUUCCUGAGAGAUCAAGGACUAGCAUAUACGCAUUGGACCGUUCUUUCGAGUCAGUCUUAGCCUCAUUCGCUCCACCAGUUGUCGGUUUCUUAGCCGAGCAUGUCUAUGGUUACAACCCCAUCUCCUAUGGAGCUGGGGCUAGCAGUGUUGGCAGGGACAAGUCAAACGCUGGUGCCCUAGCCAAAGCUCUCUACACGGCAAUCGCCAUUCCUAUGCUGCUCUGCUGCUUCAUCUACUCCCUGUUGUACCGGACAUACCCACGAGACAGGGAGAGAGCAAGAAUGGACAGUCUGAUUGCAUCGGAGCUGCAGCAGAUUGAGCUGGAAAGAUGUCAUGGAGUAGUAGAUUGUUAUGCUGGAAGUAAGGAUGGCGCCACUGUGAUCGAUAUGGAGUACAGCGAGGAAGAUUUUGAUCCAGAUGACGAUGAGAAAGCGUUGAUGGAUCAGCAGGCUGAGCAGUGAGCAGAGUGGCAGUGUCAGGUGACCAAGGAGUAAUUUGGCGAAGAAAGCUCCACAUAAUUUACUAGAGCUCUGCGAAAUUGACUUUGGGAUUGUAUAGGAAACACGGAGUAUAGUAUGAGCCAACUCCUAACAAUGAUUGGGAGGCAAUUAUUGUAUUUGGGGGUUGCUAGCGUAGAGUUUCAAUCGGUUGGUUCAAUUCGGUUUUUUGAAAGUACAAAGCAUUAAACCUUCCAGCUGUGUUUAUGCAGUGAGUAUUUUCUUUUCCAGGCUUGCGCAGGAGAAUACAUGGAUAGUUUGAACUUGACGAAGCUGGGUUGAAGAGUUGCGCAGGACGAUGCACUUUCCUUCAGGAAGAAGAUUGUGCACUAUAACUUGAACUGAAGUGAGUUGCACGCAACAGUUUCUUGUGCGCGCGCGCGUGUGGGGAUGCAGGCAACAGUUUCUCCCAGGUGGAAGUUAUGAGUGGAUUAACAUUAUAUCCACAAAUUAUUACAGAGAAAUUCAAUCCGUGUGCAACU